rnacentral:tRNA from 1 species
AGUAAAUUGGCCGAGUAGGCGGUGGGUUGUAGCCCCAAACACGGAGGUCUAAGUCCUCCUUUUACU